rnacentral:rRNA from 1 species
AUACGUAGGUGGCAAGCGUUGUCCGGAAUUAUUGGGCGUAAAGGGCGCGAAGGCUGCGAUUCAAGUCAACUGUCAAAUUCCGGGGCUUAACCCCGGCCUGCAGUUGAAACUGAAUUGCUCGAGGCGCAGAGAGGCAGACAGAAUUCCUGGUGUAGCGGUGAAAUGCGUAGAUAUCAGGAAGAAUACCAGUGGCGAAGGCGGUCUGCUGGCUGCGAACUGACGCUCAAGCGCGAAAGCCAGGGGAGCAAACGGGAUUAGAUACCCCGGUAGUCCUGGCAGUAAACGAUGUAUGCUGGGUGUGAGAUCAGCGAUGAUUUCGUGCCGAAGUUAACGCGAUAAGCAUACCGCCUGGGGAGUACGGUCGCAAGAUUGAAACUCAAAUGAAUUGGCGGGG